rnacentral:lncRNA from 1 species
UUAUACUGAAAGAUGAGCAACAUCUGAUCAAUUGUCUAAAUUGUGAUCAAACACCGUAGAGAUAUAUGAUAUGACAACAACACUGAGAAUGUGAUUGUUGUGAAACUUCAACGUGAUUGUGCAGUACCUACUGAAGUAACUACCAUAUAUAUGUGGCCAUCCUUUUUCUAUGUGAGCAAAUCCAAAUCAACCAAAGAUAUCUGAAACUACUCAAUGUCUCUGUAGGCAUAUUUUUCAUCGACAUAUUUAUGGUAUCUUGAUGCUUCACUCUUGAUUCUCUUGAGUCCAUCAGAAUGGUCUUCAUGGCGCGGACUUUCUCCUUCAUCUACUAAAAACCUGAUGUCACCAAAAAGACGAAUCAUCUUGUACAUAAAAACAUUACAUCACUAACAAAUUUCUAUGAUCAAUAUAUACUCCUCAUUGUGAAGAUUUAGAGCAUAUCCAAACUGAGAAUAGUUAGAAUAUAUCUAGCUAAUCCUAACUGAGAAGAGUUAGAACAUAUCCAAACUUCCUAGUGAGACUUAUGUAUUUCUAGGAAGCUUAGGCCGGGUUACAAUUAUGUAUGUAAUGCCUUAGGAAAAUCAAAUAAAACAACAAUAAGGGAGCUAGCUACCUCACCCUUUGAUUCAAAGUUGCACAGUGUUGAUGCCCGGGAGGAACAUGCUGCCCAGAAACAAAAGUUUUGUUUUCGUAGAAAAAAACUUGUUGGUAAGCAUGACUGAAAUUACUACCUUGGGUGCGGUAUGGGUUGUCCUCAUCCUGGUCUGCCAACAUGAUCAGCUUUGGCGGCAGCUGGCGAUGUGGUUGCGAGGCUUGGGCGCCAUGGCGAGGACGUCGUCCAGGAUGCCACAUGAGCCUGUCAAGCUCAAGGAUAGGGGGCUUCGGCAGUGGCAAAAGGAUGCACAUAUGGAUGUUCCCUUACCAGGCGUCGUUGUCGACCUGCUAGUCAACAUUCAUCUCUUACUCUGGUUGUGCUAUUAUGCGGGCAUGUGGUGCUUAGUUUUAAUUUCCCUGUCGUUCUUAGACCAUGACUGAUCAAUCACCACCAUACAUUUAUAUGAUCUAUUACUCCGUACUUGUUACUCUUGUUUCUCUGCAUUGUUUGCUGCAAAAAUUAAAACUUUGAGGUGCAGAUUCACAAGAAUGUCAGGACAAUAUUCAAAAUAUUUUCUUUUGAGCUUUGUUCAUACGAAAAGUGACAUUGUAGGUUGGAUUGCUAGCUCAAGGUGCAUGAGAGAUCAAAAAAACAAAAAUCUCCAAGGAUAUUUUACCCACGUGCACACACAAAUGGGCACACAACCAAAACUUAUAUCCUUUUAGUCUAUUGGAAAAUGAAGAUACUAAUAUGCUGGAAUUCUAACCUUCAGAGAACUCCCAAUCGUCAUUCUGUAUGCACCUAUACAGGGGCAUUAUAUGUACUUCUCCCAAUCAUCAAUCUGCCGGGAAACUAAUUAUGGGCUGCAUAAGCUACCAGAUACAUAGAAAUAUGAUGCACGUGUUGUUGGAGUUGCAACCAAAACAGUCAUUCAUGCCCAUCUUCUCUGAAGUUUGAGGCAUCGGUUCUGUGAAGUCUUGCUAGCUGGUAUAAAAUGUGAACUUAUUAUAUUACCACUGCCAACCACUAAUGCGAAUUCUUGACCUUGUUUCCCUCAAAAACAAUAUUUCUCCACAUGAAGUUAUUUAUAAAAAAGGGACAACUUGCAUGGUUCUAAAGGUAAAACUACAAAAAUAAUAUAUAUCUCAAACUCAUGCACACCUUCAGCUAAAUAGCUACAGAGAUUCUGAGUGCAACCAUCCAUGCAACAUUGGUCUUAGAAACAACUCAAUUAUAAACACACCUGGGUCUAGGACUCUUGCUCAAUGGAUCUACCAGCCUCGGCUUCCCCCUGUGUUGCUAUCUUCCAUAUUUUAAUCUCCUCUCCAGUAGCUGUGUUAUGUCCAUUAUCAGACCCUCGACAUGAAGAAUGCAUCAAACAUAGUUAUGUGAUGCCUUGUUGGCUCCGACCUUCUUAAGAGAAGUAGUAUACUUUUUUUCCGAGAAAACAGAGAAGUAGUAUACUUGAUCAUAACACACAUGAGAGCAUUACAAUUUCAUACAUUAUAGACAACUAAUGGCUUGACUAAACUAACCAAGCACAUGUUAUGUUUAGUGUUUU